rnacentral:rRNA from 1 species
GUCUACGGCCAUACCACCCUGAACGCGCCCGAUCUCGUCUGAUCUCGGAAGCUAAGCAGGGUCGGGCCUGGUUAGUACUUGGAUGGGAGAAACUUCUGUGUCAAAACCUGGCAAAGAAGAGA